rnacentral:tRNA from 1 species
AGCCUCGUAGUGUAUGUAACAUGUCGAAUUGCAAAUUCGGAGAAGCAGCUCUAACCCUGCCGGGGCUU